rnacentral:lncRNA from 1 species
CUAAUGCUUUAAAUGUUCCUCACUCUUUGCUUGCAGACUUUAAAUUAUUUGUGUGCUAUAGAAGAGGGAGAAGAUUUCAGAGGAUCUUUCUAUCUGGCACACAGGAUAUUGAAAGUUUAAUUGGAUGGAGAGGGGACAGAAAAAUCUGAAACCAGCUUUACAAGACAAAACGAAGUCUUGGGACUACAACCUGCUCAAGUGUCUGUGACAAAAAAAGUGGAGAUUCAGAUGCCUGAUAGCAUUGGUAAGGUUUAUCAGAUACUUAAAAAUAUUAUAUUGGGUAACUUUCUAAGCAAAAUUUUCAAAUAAACAGG